GAUGAACGCUGGCGGCGUGCUUAACACAUGCAAGUCGAACGAUGAAGCCCAGCUUGCUGGGUGGAUUAGUGGCGAACGGGUGAGUAACACGUGAGCAACCUGCCCCUGACUCUGGGAUAAGCGCUGGAAACGGCGUCUAAUACUGGAUAUGUCCCGUCACCGCAUGGUGUGCGGGUGGAAAGAUUUUUCGGUUGGGGAUGGGCUCGCGGCCUAUCAGCUUGUUGGUGAGGUAAUGGCUCACCAAGGCGUCGACGGGUAGCCGGCCUGAGAGGGUGACCGGCACACCGGGACCUGGACACGGCCCCAGCCCCCUCCGGAGGGCGGAGGGGGGAAUUUUUCCCAAAUGGCCGAAAGCCUAAUGAGGCACGCCGCGGGAGGGAUGACGGCCUUCGGGUUGUAAACCUCUUUUAGCAGGGAAGAAGCGAAAGUGACGGUACCUGCAGAAAAAGCACCGGCUAACUACGUG
rnacentral:rRNA from 1 species